GUGCUCACUUUGACAAAACAUAUACUAAAAAUUGGAAUGAUAUAGAGAAGAACAGCAUGGCCCCUGCACAAGGAGGACACGCAAAUUCAUAACGUUCCAUAUUUUA
ensembl:snRNA U6 U6 spliceosomal RNA